AAACUAACAGAAGGAUUUUGAAGUCAGUUCUUUGACCGACAGGAAGCCAGUGUAAAGAUCUGAGGACUAGAGUUAUAUGAUCUACUUUCUUGGUUUAGUGAGGA